rnacentral:rRNA from 1 species
AGCGAACGCUGGCGGCAGGCCUAACACAUGCAAGUCGAACGGCUCUUCGGUGCAGUGGCGGACGGGUGAGUAACGCGUGGGAACGUGCCCUUUGGUUCGGAACAACACAGGGAAACUUGUGCUAAUACCGGAUGUGCCCUUCGGGGGAAAGAUUUAUCGCCAUUGGAGCGGCCCGCGUUGGAUUAGGUAGUUGGUGGGGUAAUGGCCCACCAAGCCGACGAUCCAUAGCUGGUCUGAGAGGAUGAUCAGCCACACUGGGACUGAGACACGGCCCAGACUCCUACGGGAGGCAGCAGUGGGGAAUCUUGCGCAAUGGGCGAAAGCCUGACGCAGCCAUGCCGCGUGAAUGAUGAAGGUCUUAGGAUUGUAAAAUUCUUUCACCGGGGAAGAUAAUGACGGUACCCGGAGAAGAAGCCCCGGCUAACUUCGUGCCAGCCGCCGCCGUAACAC